rnacentral:lncRNA from 1 species
AGGAGGAAAUCCUAUGUGUCUGCUCCCGGAGCUGCCACAACCCAUCUUCCCACAACUCGGAACUUGGAAAAAGGAACCCAGGACACGACUUUGCUUUUCUUUUGGACCUAGUUGAUACAAGUUAACAGGAUAUGCUUCUGGCCUGUUUCUGGAUUCUAAGGGUAGAACCAGCAUAAAACUAGUCAGUCCAAGUAUUUCUAAAGAUCCACAGACACAGUUCUCCUGGAUUUGGGAAGCCUAGAGAUAUUAGCACAAUAAUUAAGGCCCAACAACUUUUAAAAGCCUUUCCACUGCACAGUGAAAGAAAACCACAAACUCCUUGUUUAAUAAGUGGGAUCACGUGCUUUUAACACGAGGAAAAGGUCAAUCUGAAGCAACUGAUAUGGAACUGCCAGAGUAGGAGUUGAAAAUCUUCCUAAACUGCUGGAGGAUACACCUCUGAUAGCUUGAGACAAAUAUCCUCUUGAUCAUUGUUUCACCAUAUUUGUCUUUGCUCAUGGAGAACCAUUUUGAUCCGUGGUUUAGCCUCCCAGGUGAUUGAACAAUACCGGUGAUCUGAGGCAGACCCUCUGUGACGGAUAACAGAAAAGAAAAUUGAGGAUCAGAAAAUACGCACAAUUUGCAAAAACCAUGGGAAAGAAUAUUGAUUGAACAUCUACUCAAGAACUGCAAAACAGAGAUUACCUGACCUAAAGCAUUUAUAUUGCCAAUCAUGUUGGAGAGUCCAUGUGGUGAUUUCUGAAAACGAGAUGUGAGAAAGAAGAGGAUAAUUUAAGUCUAGACCUACAGAUUGUGCUGAUAAAGUGAUGAAGAACUACAAUCUUCUUAGUCAUUUCAUUGUAUAAGUGCAAUAAAGGGUAUGUAAUAAAUUUGUAUGUUCAUA